CCUACGGGAGGCAGCAGUGAGGAAUAUUGGUCAAUGGCCGGGAGGCUGAACCAGCCAAGUCGCGUGAGGGAAGACGGCCCUACGGGUUGUAAACCUCUUUUGUCCGGGAGCAAGGUGCAGGUCGGGACCUGCUGUGAGAGUCCCUGAAGACAAAGCAUCGGCUAACUCCGUGCCAGCAGCCGCGGUACAACAGAGGAUGCGUGCGUUAUCCGGAGUUAGUGGGUUUAAAGGGUGCGCAGGCGGAGGCCCACGUCAGCGGUAAAAUCGCGGGGCGCAACCCCGCUCCGCCGUUGAAACCGUGUCCCUUGAGUGCGCGAAGGGUAGGCGGAAUGCGUGGUGUAGCGGUGAAAUGCAUAGAUAUCACGCAGAACUCCGAUCGCGAAGGCAGCCUACCGGAGCGCAACUGACGCUCAUGCACGAAAGCGUGGGUAUCGAACAGGAUUAGAUACCCUGGUAGUC
rnacentral:rRNA from 1 species